rnacentral:rRNA from 1 species
GCGAAAGCCUGACGGAGCCAGACCGCGUGAGGGAAGAAGGCCCGUGGGUUGUAAACCUCUUUUCUCAGGGAAGAAAAAAAUGACGGUACCUGAGGAAUCAGCCUCGGCUAACUCCGUGCCAGCAGCCGCGGUAAGACGGAGGAUGCAAGCGUUAUCCGGAAUGGUUGGGCGUAAAGCGUCCGCAGGUGGCAGUUCAAGUCUGCUGUCAAAGACCGGAGCUUAACUUCGGAAAGGGAGUGGAAACUGAACAGCUAGAGUAUGGUAGGGGCAGAGGGAAUUCCUGGUGUAGCGGUGAAAUGCGUAGAUAUCAGGAAGAACACCGGUGGCGAAAGCGCUCUGCUGGGCCGUAACUGACACUCAUGGACGAAAGCUAGGGGAGCG